UGAGGGUCAGCAGCACAAUCUGACUCUCAUGGGAGUGAGAUGGGAGUUUUCUAUCCAUGGCACCAUGUGGAGGGUGGCAGCACAGCACUAUGGCUUUUCUUCUCCAGGGCUGUCCAUGGCAGCUGGAUUCCUGGGUUGGGCUCAAAAUAUGACUCAAUGACUCAUAAAAGCCCUCAUCUACCUUGGGCUGCUAAAUUUGAAGGUGCUACUUCUGGGUGGUGAAACCCUUGAGUACAAGGAACUGGUUGUUGAAAGCAAUAAACCUGACACAGAUGAAGAUGCAUGGCAUGGAGCAGACUCCAAGAUCAUUCCCAGGAGGGUCCUGUUACCUGGCAGUCUGCCCACAGCCCAUCCAGCCCGACCAGUCUGGCCUCAUGCUCCUCACCAAAAUCCCCAUCUUGCUGCAGCAAAACUCUUGGUAGUGGAUCAAAGACCUUGGACAAAUCUGGCUGCUAGAAUGCCCUGUAACCGCCAGAGCUUGACAUUUUGCCCUCCUUCAUAUUGAGUUUGAUGUUUACUUUUCUGUAUCCAGUAUAUGCAGAGGUUAUUUUUAGCAUUGCUAAAUGAAUAAGUGGUUUAAGAUCAAACACAGCAGCAAGGCAAGGUGAUGUAUGAGUAAAGCUUGAAAAUUGUG